UACGAAGGGGGCUAGCGUUGCUCGGAAUUACUGGGCGUAAAGGGUGCGUAGGCGGUUGUUUAAGUCUGUCGUGAAAUCCCCGGGCUCAACCUGGGAAUGGCGAUGGAUACUGGGCAGCUAGAGUGUGUCAGAGGAUGGUGGAAUUCCUGGUGUAGCGGUGAAAUGCGUAGAGAUCGGGAGGAACAUCAGUGGCGAAGGCGGCCAUCUGGGACAACACUGACGCUGAAGCACGAAAGCGUGGGGAGCAAACAGG
rnacentral:rRNA from 1 species